CCAGUUCCCUCCCUGUGCCUCCCAGUUCCUCCCAGUAAUCCCAGUUUGCAGGAACUGGACCUCUCCGACAAUCACGUGACCGAGGUGGGCGUGGCCCCGCCCCUCCCCCGCCUGUGGCUCCUGCGGCUGGACCGGAACCCCAUUAGCCACGCCCCCGCUCUCGCCCCAUUGGCCGCCUGGCCCCGCCUCACCCGCCUGGGAUUGGCUGAGACCCCGCUGGGCUCCGCCCCCUCUGGCCCCGCCCACCUGGCCGAGCUGCUCCCCGGCGUUGACGUCACCUUCACCUGAUUGGCUGCUGCCUCCAGUGCUUGGCCACGCCCUCUCGCUGUGGCCACGCCCCCCCGGUGUCAGCGUGAGCGCUUCCGGGUUCGGCCCCGCCCCUUCCGGCCUUCAAUAAAGUGAGAUCCCAGUUCGUC